rnacentral:rRNA from 1 species
UACGUAGGGUGCGAGCGUUAAUCGGAAUUACUGGGCGUAAAGCGUGCGCAGGCGGCUUUGCAAGACAGAUGUGAAAUCCCCGGGCUCAACCUGGGAACUGCAUUUGUGACUGCAAGGCUAGAGUACGGCAGAGGGGGAUGGAAUUCCGCGUGUAGCAGUGAAAUGCGUAGAUAUGCGGAGGAACACCAAUGGCGAAGGCAAUCCCCUGGGCCUGUACUGACGCGGAGGUGCGAAAGCGUGGGGAGCAAACAGG